AGAGGUCAAAGGGAUUCCUGGGGCAACCUCGAGGGAAAGAAUUCUGGCUCCGAGGGCCGGUGUACAGUGCUUUAAAUAUGGCAGUGGUUAUGUGUGAAAUUAUCGUGUUUUUCUGUUUAACCUGUUUCUUGUCUCUUCAUCGCCUUUCUAUAUAAUGUAAGACCAGAGGCUUUAUGUAGUGAAUUCCCUGUAACCCCGGCUGCUUGGACAGAUAGGUAUUCAAGUAUUUGUUUCUUGAAGUAAUCCUCUGAAUUAACUUGCUCACAUGUAAAAAAUAAUAACGGGCUGGGAAACGCCAGUAAUAGCCGCCAAACGUUUGUUAGACAUUUACAGUGUGCCAGGGACUGCAUUUUACGUGUAUUAUCACAUUCCUCAGAACAGCCUAAUGAGGUAUAUAUUACUAGAAUGCCUAUUUUUCAGAUGAGGAAACUGAUGCAUAGAAAGGAUAAUUUACUCAAGAGCGAGGAAGUAGCAAGCAUAAAAUCCAAGUACAUUUUUUUCUGCAUGUAUUAAUAGGUACAAUGAAGUAACUUUUUAAAUUGCUGUAGGUAUCAAUCAUAGUCUUAAUUCCCAGUAAUUCACUUACUAAGAAAUAUUUUCUGCUUCUCUUUCAUCAUUCAUGGGAGAGAUACAUAUCCCUAAAUAUUUUGCACAUUUAAAACUUAAACUUGGGUAUGGUGGCUUAUGCCUGUAAUCACGGCGUUUUGGGAGGCUCAGGUGGGAGGAUUGCUUGAGUCCAGGAGUUCCAGGCCAGCCUGGGCCACAUAGUAAGACCCCGUAUCUACAAAAAAUAAAAAAAAAAUUAACCGGGCAUGGUAGUGUCUCUGUAGUACUAGCUACUCGGGAGGCUGAGGUGGUAGGAUCACUGGCGCCCAGCAAUUCCAGCCUGCAGUUAGGAUUACCACACUGCACUUCAGCCUGAGCGGCAGAAUGGGACCAUGUCUGAAAAAAUAAAUAAAAAAUAAAACUUGCAGGUAUGUUCUGAAUGUUUAUUGUAUGCAUCCUCUAUGAGGUAUCAUUUUAUUGGAAAUUAUUGCAUUGUCUACAAAAAUAUGAAGAACUCUGAAGAUGCCAAAAGAUAAACCGUGAAAGAGUACUAGAAGUGAGCUCCUCAAAAAGAUAAAGCUGAGAAGUGUUUCCCAAUUUUUCUUACUCAUUUAUGUAUGUAAUACUUUAUGUCUAGAAACUGAAUUUCAGAGCUGGGAGGGAACUUAAAAGUUAGUCCAGUUCUUUCAUGUUAGUGCCAAGAAAGCUGAUCAGAAAGAGAUUAAAUGACUUGCCCAAAAUUGAAUAGUCUUAAAUCUGAGCUGAGGCAGGCGUCUGAAUGUCUUAAAUUGGAGUUAAAUGUAUUAGCGUCAUAGUAUUAACAUCAUCAUAUUCCAUAUCUCUCAAAUCUGAUUUGAUUUUCAUUACAAUAGAGAAAUAAGUGUGAUUAGUAUUAUCCCCAUUUCCUUCACCGGGAGGCACAUUGUUUUAGUAUCAAAAGCAGCUACCUUGGGAGAAUCCGGGGCUAGAAACCUGACUUCAUUUCAAGUUUUACUCUUGUUGCACCAAAACCUUGGGUGAGUUAGUUUCUCAGCCUCAGUCCCCUCAUCAGGAAAAUGCUGUGUUAGCACUUUCUGUGAAGAAUGAUCAAAGGAGUGGAGAUUAUGGAGAUUAUAAACACACUUGACACAGUAAGUGUUUAAGAACUGGUAGCUGAUUUUUACAAAGUUAUGGGUCAUAGAAGGCAGUUUAGAGAAAAGGGCAGGCUUUGGAGUAGCUCAGUUGUAUUAUAACCUUGGCUUCUUUACUCACCUAGGACAUACAUUCUCUCUUUAGCUGUAGCUUCCUCCCUUCUGAGAUGGAAAUUAUAAGCCAUCUCACAGUGUUGUGAGGAUUGGAGCUCAAGUGUGUAAAAUGCCUCCUCUGUGGGCUCUCCUUGGAGAGUUCUUGUAUCCUAUUGAUUGUCAUCAAAGGAAAAAAGUGGCAGGAUGAUGGCAUAAGUGGGAAGAACCUUGAGUUUAAUAGUCUGAAAAAGUGGUUACAGGUUCUUGCUAUGCUUUUCCUCUCUGUGGUUUUCUGAACCCAUCGCCUAACCUGAAGCCUUAAACUUCAUCUGCAAAAAUGUUUUGUGGCAGGUGACUCUGAAGCAGAACUCUUGAGAUGGAAGGAUUGUCAUCUGAGGAAAAAAAAUCAAGAUUAAGAGAGGAGGAACUAGAAUGAGAUUCACAUACCGUCUCUCCUCCAAGGGAAGGAGAGAGUGGUGAUGCCUGCCCACUCCUUCCUGGGCAGAACAUUUGUAGCAUGGAACAUUGGAGAAUUUGCAGUCUGCUGACUUUCUGAUUUAGGAGGUUGAUGGGGAGGCCUUAUAAUUUGCAUUUCUAACAAGUUCUGAGGUGAUGCUUCAAGUAUGUCCAGGCAGAAGGGCUGCCUCACAGAGAAUUCUGCCAUACCACAUGGGAAUUGAAGUCACAGACAUCUCUAACCCUCAAGCCUGAAACCAAAAGACUGAAAACCAACACUACAGUGGACAAAGAACAUCUCUGAACUUGUGUGGGGACCAGUGACACAAGGACCUAAGGUCUCUCUCUUCUCAUCUUGGCACUUCAGAAGUCUCCCCAAUCUUGACAAAGCCCUGGAGAAAGGGCCGGGCCUCCCGUUGAUAAGAAUAUCACUGCAGAUAAAUGGAGGUUUCAAAUUGAAAGAAAGGAGGAGGGCCUCCUGUUGAUAAGAUUAUUGUCACUGCAGGUAAAUGGAGGCUUCAAAUAGAAAUACAUUUCAGUUACAGAAAAAAAAAUUAUCUUUGUUACACAUUUGAGUUUGCAGGCCUAAGGUUACUCCCGCUACACUAUCAUCUGUAACCAUAACGCACUCAACAUUUUAAGCUAACUAUAAGGAUUGUUGCUUCACUCAAAGAUCCUGAGGUUUUAUUCACUAACAUUUUUAUUUGGUGACUAUAGUUGACAAGAACAAAGCUGUGGGGAACCAACAAACACUGCAAUGCCUGGCAUUGUCACCUCACUAGAUUGUGAGUUCCUCUGGGACAGGGUCCGUACAUUUUCUUAGAAUCCCUCACUUAGCCAUUAGCCUGCACAGUGCUUGUACUUAGUAAGUGCUCAGUAAAUGUUUGUGGAAUGAAUGCAUGAUGAACAAAAUAUAUACUGAGGACUCUU
rnacentral:lncRNA from 1 species